AGCGAACGCUGGCGGCAGGCCUAACACAUGCAAGUCGAACGAACACUUCGGAGUUAGUGGCGGACGGGGGAGGAACACGAGGGAACGUGCCUUUGGGUUUGGAAUAACUCAGGGAAACUUGUGCUAAUACCGAAUGUGCCCUUCGGGGGAAAGAUUUAUCGCCAUUAGAGCGGCCCGCGUCAGAUUAGCUAGUUGGGGAGGUAACGGCUCACCAAGGCGACGAUCAGUAGCUGGUCUGAGAGGAUGACCAGCCACACUGGGACUGAGACACGGCCCAGACUCCUACGGGAGGCAGCAGUGGGGAAUCUUGCGCAAUGGGCGAAAGCCUGACGCAGCCAUGCCGCGUGAAUGAUGAAGGUCUUAGGAUUGUAAAAUUCUUUCACCGGGGACGAUAUUGACGGUACCCGGAGAAGAAGCCCCGGCUAACUUCGUG
rnacentral:rRNA from 1 species